UACGAAGGGGGCUAGCGUUGUUCGGAAUUACUGGGCGUAAAGCGUGCGCAGGCGGCUUCUCAAGUCAGGGGUGAAAGCCCAGAGCUCAACUCUGGAAUUGCCUUUGAGACUGAGUGGCUUGAGUACGGGAGAGGUGAGUGGAAUUCCCAGUGUAGAGGUGAAAUUCGUAGAUAUUGGGAAGAACACCGGUGGCGAAGGCGGCUCACUGGCCCGAAACUGACGCUCAUGCACGACAGCGUGGGGAUCAAACAGG
rnacentral:rRNA from 1 species